rnacentral:rRNA from 1 species
GUCUCCUGAAGGAACUCCUGAAGGAACGUUGAAGACGACGACGUUGAUAGGCCGGGUGUGUAAGCGCAGCGAUGCGUUGAGCUAACCGGUACUAAUGAACCGUGAGGCUUAACCUU